rnacentral:sRNA from 1 species
UUACUAUACAUUUCUCUUUCUUUUUGUAUAUACCUGCUGCGUUUAAGAAAAUAUAUAAUUCAAACGCAGCAGGUAUAUACAAAAAGAAAGAGAAAAAAU